GUCCACGCCCUAAACGAUGUCGACUGGUUGUUGGGGUUUGACACCCUUAGUAACGUAGCUAACGCGCGAAGUCGACCGCCUGGGGAGUACGGUCGCAAGAUUAAAACUCAAAGGAAUUGACGGGGGCCCGCACAAGCGGUGGAUGAUGUGGAUUAAUUCGAUGCAAACGCGAAAAACCUUACCUACCCUUGACAUGCCCCGGAGCCCUGGUGAGAGCUGGGGGUGCCCCGAAAGGGAGCCGGGACACAGGUGCUGCAUGGCUGUCGU
rnacentral:rRNA from 1 species